GAGUGAAAUAGAACCUGAAACCGUGUGCUUACAAGUAGUCAGAGCCCGUUAAUGGGUGAUGGCGUGCCUUUUGUAGAAUGAACCGGCGAGUUACGAUUUGAUGCAAGGUUAAGCAGUAAAUGUGGAGCCGUAGCGAAAGCGAGUCUGAAUAGGGCGUUUAGUAUUUGGUCGUAGACCCGAAACCAGGUGAUCUACCCUUGGUCAGGUUGAAGUUCAGGUAACACUGAAUGGAGGACCGAACCGACUUACGUUGAAAAGUGAGCGGAUGAACUGAGGGUAGCGGAGAAAUUCCAAUCGAACCUGGAGAUAGCUGGUUCUCUCCGAAAUAGCUUUAGGGCUAGCCUCAAGUGAUGAUUAUUGGAGGUAGAGCACUGUUUGGACGAGGGGCCCCUCUCGGGUUACCGAAUUCAGACAAACUCCGAAUGCCAAUUAAUUUAACUUGGGAGUCAGAACAUGGGUGAUAAGGUCCGUGUUCGAAAGGGAAACAGCCCAGACCACCAGCUAAGGUCCCAAAAUAUAUGUUAAGUGGAAAAGGAUGUGGCGUUGCCCAGACAACUAGGAUGUUGGCUUAGAAGCAGCCAUCAUUUAAAGAGUGCGUAAUAGCUCACUAGUCGAGUGACACUGCGCCGAAAAUGUACCGGGGCUAAACAUAUUACCGAAGCUGUGGAUUGUCCUUUGGACAAUGGUAGGAGAGCGUUCUAAGGGCGUUGAAGCAUGAUCGUAAGGACAUGUGGAGCGCUUAGAAGUGAGAAUGCCGGUGUGAGUAGCGAAAGACGGGUGAGAAUCCCGUCCACCGAUUGACUAAGGUUUCCAGAGGAAGGCUCGUCCGCUCUGGGUUAGUCGGGUCCUAAGCUGAGGCCGACAGGCGUAGGCGAUGGAUAACAGGUUGAUAUUCCUGUACCACCUAUAAUCGUUUUAAUCGAUGGGGGGACGCAGUAGGAUAGGCGAAGCGUGCGAUUGGAUUGCACGUCUAAGCAGUAAGGCUGAGUAUUAGGCAAAUCCGGUACUCGUUAAGGCUGAGCUGUGAUGGGGAGAAGACAUUGAGUCUUCGAGUCGUUGAUUUCACACUGCCGAGAAAAGCCUCUAGAUAGAAAAUAGGUGCCCGUACCGCAAACCGACACAGGUAGUCAAGAUGAGAAUUCUAAGGUGAGCGAGCGAACUCUCGUUAAGGAACUCGGCAAAAUGACCCCGUAACUUCGGGAGAAGGGGUGCUCUUUAGGGUUAACGCCCAGAAGAGCCGCAGUGAAUAGGCCCAAGCGACUGUUUAUCAAAAACACAGGUCUCUGCUAAACCGUAAGGUGAUGUAUAGGGGCUGACGCCUGCCCGGUGCUGGAAGGUUAAGAGGAGUGGUUAGCUUCUGCGAAGCUACGAAUCGAAGCCCCAGUAAACGGCGGCCGUAACUAUAACGGUCCUAAGGUAGCGAAAUUCCUUGUCGGGUAAGUUCCGACCCGCACGAAAGGCGUAACGAUUUGGGCACUGUCUCAACGAGAGACUCGGUGAAAUCAUAGUACCUGUGAAGAUGCAGGUUACCCGCGACAGGACGGAAAGACCCCGUGGAGCUUUACUGUAGCCUGAUAUUGAAAUUCGGCACAGCUUGUACAGGAUAGGUAGGAGCCUUUGAAACGUGAGCGCUAGCUUACGUGGAGGCGCUGGUGGGAUACUACCCUAGCUGUGUUGGCUUUCUAACCCGCACCACUUAUCGUGGUGGGAGACAGUGUCAGGCGGGCAGUUUGACUGGGGCGGUCGCCUCCUAAAAGGUAACGGAGGCGCUCAAAGGUUCCCUCAGAAUGGUUGGAAAUCAUUCAUAGAGUGUAAAGGCAUAAGGGAGCUUGACUGCGAGACCUACAAGUCGAGCAGGGUCGAAAGACGGACUUAGUGAUCCGGUGGUUCCGCAUGGAAGGGCCAUCGCUCAACGGAUAAAAGCUACCCCGGGGAUAACAGGCUUAUCUCCCCCAAGAGUUCACAUCGACGGGGAGGUUUGGCACCUCGAUGUCGGCUCAUCGCAUCCUGGGGCUGUAGUCGGUCCCAAGGGUUGGGCUGUUCGCCCAUUAAAGCGGUACGCGAGCUGGGUUCAGAACGUCGUGAGACAGUUCGGUCCCUAUCCGUCGUGGGCGUAGGAAAUUUGAGAGGAGCUGUCCUUAGUACGAGAGGACCGGGAUGGACAUACCUCUGGUGUACCAGUUGUCGUGCCAACGGCAUAGCUGGGUAGCUAUGUGUGGACGGGAUAAGUGCUGAAAGCAUCUAAGCAUGAAGCCCCCCUCAAGAUGAGAUUUCCCAACUUCGGUUAUAAGAUCCCUCAAAGAUGAUGAGGUUAAUAGGUUCGAGGUGGAAGCAUGGUGACAUGUGGAGCUGACGAAUACUAAUCGAUCGAAGACUUAAUCAA
rnacentral:rRNA from 2 species